rnacentral:rRNA from 1 species
UACGGAGGGGGGCUAGCGUUGUUCGGAAUUACUGGGCGUAAAGCGCACGUUAGGCGGCUUUGUAAGUUAGAGGUGAAAGCCCAGGGCUUAACCCCUGGAAUUGCCUUUAAGACUGCAUCGCUAGAAUCGUGGAGAGGUGAGUGGAAUUCCGAGUGUAGAGGUGAAAUUCGUAGAUAUUCGGAAGAACACCAGUGGCGAAGGCGACUUACUGGACACAUAUUGACGCUGAGGUGCGAAAGCGUGGGGAGCAAACAGG